rnacentral:rRNA from 1 species
GACAGAGGGGCAAGCGUUGCUCGGAAUCGACUAGGGCGUAAAGGCGCGUAGGCGGGAUGGCAAGUCCGGUGCGUGGAAUCCCUGGGCUCAACUGCAGGGGGUCGCCGAUACUGCCGUUCUGGAGGAUGCAGAGGAGACUGGAAUUCCCGGUGUAGCGGUGAAAUGUGUAGAGAUCGGGAGGAACACCGGUGGCGAAGGCGGGUCUCUGGGCCGUAACUGACGCUGAGGAGCGAAAGCGUGGGGAGCGAACAGG